rnacentral:lncRNA from 1 species
CGACCCUUCCAUCUCAGCUUCCUGAGUAGCUGGGACUACAGUCCCUGGAACAUCUGGCAGCCAUGGCUCUUCCUCUCUCUCCAGCUAGAAGAUCAGGUCAGGUUUGAGGCCUGAAAAUUCUGCUGGCAGAGAUGGAAACACAACACGUGCAUUUCUGCUGAGAACCAAAGCCUACGGUCUGCAGAGAGCAGGCAGAGAGAUUCAGCUGGACCAGGUAGGAAGGCCCAGGAUGGUGGAAUAGCCCCAGCUGGAAGAAACAAAUCUGGUGUUCCCUGACUCUGCACCACCCAAGUCAGGGUGGUUCAGUCCCCCAGCUUCGACAGAAGAACCACAUCACUCAGGCCCACAAUUCCCCAAACCACAGGAAGAGCAACCAGGUUUUAGGCCCUGGUGAUGGGACAGGUGGCCAUGAGGCCUCCUGUGUAAACCUGGAACUUGGGAAGAGGCCUUGGAGCAACCGGCUACACCCAGAAGCUCCCACCCCAGCUCACGGGUGAAGGGCCAGUGGAACAGGAGAAGCUCCCACCCCAGCUCACGGGGGAAGGGCCAGUGGAACAGGGAUGUGUUCUUCCUACAGAAAGCCUUGUGACUUCCUGCCCUUUCAGUAAAGGCUUUUGUGCAUUCUACUGGAAUGUCAGGUAUCAAACCACUACCGCCACCGCAUAGCCCUUGCCCGCCUGCAGUCGGCCUUCUGGUCCGUCUGACGCAGUCGAACUCUGCAGCGUUCACCUUGCUUCCUAUCUUGUUUUGCUUCCAACUUUCCAUUACAAAAAACUUCCAACAUAGAGAAUAUUAACAACUACUUCCGACCGGGCGCGGUGGCUCACACCUGUAAUCCCAGCACUUUCGGAGGCUAAGGAGGGUGGAU